rnacentral:rRNA from 1 species
GACGGAGGAGGCAAGCGUUAUCCGGAAUUAUUGGGCGUAAAGGGUACGUAGGCGGCUGGUCAAGUCUGGGGUUAAAGGCCACAGCUCAACUGUGGGAAGGCCCUGGAAACUGACCGGCUAGAGUGAGGUAGGGGUUGCGGGAAUUCCCGGUGUAGCGGUGAAAUGCGUAGAGAUCGGGAAGAACACCUGAGGCGGAAGCGCGCAACUGGGCCUCAACUGACGCUGAGGUACGAAAGCUAGGGGAGAGAAUAGG